AGCAUAGAGCCUGAUGCCGGGCUCAAACUCACGAACCAUGAUAUCAUGAUCUGAGCUGAAGUCAGAUGCUCACCGGACUGAGCCACGUAGGUGCCCUGAUAUAAUAUUUAAAUGAGACUUUGGACCUUAGACUUUGGAGCUGAUGCUAGAAUGAGUUAAGACUUAUGGGGCCAUUGUGAUGGAAUGAAUGUGUUUUGCAUGCGAAAAGGACAUGACUUUUGAGGGACUAGGGGUGGAAUGUAAUGCACUACAUAUUUGUGUGUCCCCUGAUUCAUAUGUUGAAGCCUUAACCUCCAGUGUGAUGGUAUUUGGAGUUGUGGCCAUGUAGGUUAGAUGAAGUCGUAAGGGUGGGGAAUUUAUGAUAAGAUUAGUGCCUUUAUAAAAAGGAGAAGGAGAUCUCUUUCUCUUUCUCUCUCUGAUGAGCACAGUGGAAAGGCCAUGUGAAGACGUAGCUCAUGGCAGCUGUCUGCAACUCAAGGAGAGAGGGCUCUCACCAUGCAUUUACCCCGCUGGCACCUUGAUUGUGGUUGCCAGCCUCCAGACUGUGACAUUAAGUUCCUGUUAAGCUAUCCAGUCUAUGUAUUUUGUUAUGGCAUCUUGAGCUGACUGAGAUACCUGGUUGCCUCAGUGGGGAAGGAACAGAAUGAGAACGAAGGUAGGUAUGAGAUGAGAUGGGAGCAUGUUGAAGGCAAAACUACUAUCUUGAGUCUCUUCAGAGCUAGUUGUGCCUUGGAGCACGGAGAUUUUAGAUUCAGGCAACCGUGUGAGUUUAUCAAGAUGGCAGUCCCUCUUUCCAGGUCUCCUCAUCAUAAGUUGACCAGGCAUGGGAGGCAUGCCCUUGCAGAAAGUCUGGUGCUAGUCAUUAAACAUGGCAACUGAAGCAUUACCUGUUCAUAUUAUCUCCCAGAAGACCAAAAAUCAAUCAAGUGCAUAUGUAUUUGAAAUUCCUUGACAGAAAACAAUCAUGUUCUUAGAUCCAAAUUCUUGGGUUGUUAGUGUACCAUAAAGUAUUUGGAGUUACUGCAACUAUGCAUGUUUACUUCUACUGACGAUUGCUCCAUUUGUUCUUGAUGCUGGAGGGUGAGGUGUGGGGAGAGAAAGAUGAUCACACGUUUGCAUAGAGAAAAACAAAAAUUCCAACUACACAUCUAUUUUCCAUAGACAUACUUUCCAGCAAAUGUUUAGGGUCGAAUGUUGUAUUUGUCUCUGGGAAAUGCUAUUGAUUUGAAUGAGUACCUCAAAGGGGAAGUUUCAGACAUCACGUCACCAUGUUUUGUUGAAUUAUAAACUAACAAGGUAGCAGAUCUGACAGAGAUUUCCUUUUGUGAGCUCCCUGACAGUACAGGUGGCAGUUUGGCCCUUGUAUUCUAGCUCUCCCUUAUCUUUGCAGGCUUGCCCUCUCCUAAUGCUCUCUGCCUCCCCCUCCUGACCCUCCACAGCCCCCUUACUGCAGCCACAUCGAACGACUUACUCCCCAUGCUCAGAACACUGGGGUCCUUUGAAGGGCCCAUGCUUUGCACAUGGAUUUCCUUGGCCUAGAAGUUCUUCCUGCCUUUUUGUUUGGCACAAUUCCUUCAACCUGCAAAUACCCCAUGACAUUUUAUGAGCCAUAAGAAAGCUUAGAAAUAACAUCACACUGGCCAGAAGUUGCUGGUAGAAACAAAUCUUUGGAGAAUCUAAUUUGGCUUUCUUCCUGGAUCUUUUCUUUAGAUAGAAAAGAUACCAUUUCAGUUUUUAAGUGAACUUGGCAGAAAAACACACAUGAAAGCAUUUUGUAAGAGCAGAUUCCCUGAGGAUGACUGACCUCAAGGACUCUUGGUCUGUUGUGUGAAGCACAGGCAAAGAGUCAGGAACUUCUGAGUUCUGCUGCGCAGACCUGAGCAGUUGUCUAUGUAAGCUACAGUGUGAUCCUCAGGAUGUGCAUUUCCUGCCCCAGCUGGGGAAGCCUGAGUGUGAUGCUGGCAAGGGAAACAAAGAAGAGAAAAGAACGCCCAUCACUUGUGCUAUUAUUAUCUACCCCUGGGUGAAACUGAGUAGUGAGAUCAAAGUGCUUUGUUUGUUCAACUAGUUUAUUUUUUAGUGAAGUGCUUGUUUGUUUUGUUUUGAGGUAGUUCUUUUGGAGGGAUUAAUGGCAAAGCAGAGUGGAAAUUCCUUGUUUCUUCCAUGUAAUCCUAUAAUAACUACAAGUUUGUUAUUGUCUUUUGGUUCCCAUAAAGAGGUUUGUAUUCGUGUGUGUGUGUGUGUGUGUGUGUGUGUGUGUGUGAGAUCGGGAUGUGGGGAGACAGGAAGCUGGAUAUCGAGGAAUCGAACCUUGGGAAAUUAAGAGAAGGAAAAUAGGCCCAGCUGUGGCAGAGAGUGAACUAAAGGGAACCAAAUACAGCAGGUCCUGGGGAAAAGGACAAAAAACUCACAAAAGAUAGUGGGGAGAACACCUAAGGGCAUGUAACACAGUCAAUCAUAAGAAGUCAGAGCUGAAUUGGAUCUUGAAGAAUAUUGAAUUCAUCCUCUUUAUCUCAAAGAUGAAGGACCCGAAGUCCAGGGAAGCUGUGUGAAUUAACUCACUGGUUAAGUCUUGCAACAGUUUUUCCCAACAAGAAUACAUCAUUGGAGCUAAGGGAGAUGUUCCCUCACCUCGUUUGUCUUGCAACACCAUUAGCAGCGAUAAAACCAGGCUGAGAAAAGGGGAGGAAUCAAGCAAUACAACCAAGGUCCUGCUGUAGGCACCUCUGGUCAGAGUGCUACUCCUGCCACUGCCUCUGCUGGACACUGCCGCUUGUCUAGCAUUGCUAGACACCCCAUCUGGCUGUGUAACCCUGUCUUUUUGGACUACACCCUCAAGGUUCAAAGUCUAGGUGUAGGCAUCAAGUUGACCCAGGCCCCAUGCUCUCCCUCCAACUGCUGUGGGCUAGGGAGAAGGAACUGUCUGGACAUUUGGUUUCAUUAUGGCAAGCCAAGAUUCACAUAUUGGGGAUUUCCCUCCAAGUAGGAAGGAUAUGUGAUAUGUUGGGUAGUAAAAAAAAAAAGGCAAAUAUUUACUGAAAAUACUAUGCUAGGGAUACACAAAACAAUUGGAGAAUAUUGAAGCUUUUUCUGGAGAAACAAUGUAAUAAAGUGGAAAGAGUCAAAGCUUUUCACCCAGGUGGAUAUACCUAGGUCUAUGCCAGCCUCCAUCAUCUACUAGCUAAGUUGUGGGAAAGUUACAAACCACUCUGAGCCCCAGUUAUCUCACUUAGACACUAUUACUAUCAUGUUACUAUUUCUAUCAUUAUUUUUACGACCUUCUCUUCUACUGCGUUUGCCUUGCGAAAAACUCAGCCCCAGCCCCACUGAUUUUCUUGCUGUUCUUUGAACACGCAAACAUCUAUCUGCUUUAGGCCAUUUGCACUUACUGAUUCCAAUGCCUGAAAAAUGUCCCCCAUAUGACUUGUUCCCUCACUUCCUUCAUUCAGCUCUAUUAUCAAACGUUACCUUGGUUUUGGUAAUGUCUUCUCUGACAACCCUACCAAAAAUUAUGAUCCCUUCCAGUUGUACUGCCUCUGUCUCCUCCCUGCUUUAUUUUUCUCCAUAACAUUUGUUACUUGUCUAUCUUCCUUCUCUAAACUGUAAGAUCCAUAAGAGCAGGAAAUCAAGUCUAUUUUUACAAAGCUGUAUCCCUAGCACCCUGAAUAAUAUCUGGCACAUAAAAAGUCCUCGAUAAUAUCUGUUGGAUGAAUAAUUGAUUGCCAAGUGUCUGGAGUAGAGUAGGCACCAAAUAAAUGCUAGUUAUUGCUAUUUUUUUUUAUCAGACUCUUCUUUCUCUUUCCAUUUUCUGGCCAAUCACUUCCAGCCUAACUUAUUUUCCCAGAGAACUUCUGAUCUAGUAAUAAAAUUUUACCACUCCAGUAACUUAAUCUCAAUAUUUCUCAGAUGAUCAACAUAAGACAACUGGAAUAGUACAAUAUUCAUUUUAGCAAUGACUUUUGGGAGUUCAUGUUUAUUCUACUCCUUUGUUCUUUAAUGUAUAUGAACUAUGGUGAUGGCACCAAAUGAUUUAUGUUGACAUCUGGGCAAAAGCUCAUAAAAUUUCCUUGAAUGUGCAUUUUGAGAUACCUGAGAAACACAACAUCUGAACAUUAGGAAAGUCACUGUAUUAGGAUUCUUCAGGGGAUUAGAACCAAUAAGGUAUUCAUUUAUUCAUUGAUUAAUUUAUUUAUUAUUGGAAACUGACUCACAUGAUCAUAAAGACUGGAAAGUCCUAAGAUUUGCAGGAUAAACUGACAAGCUAGAGACUCAGGAAAGCCAAUAGUUUAGUUCUAGUGUGAGUCUAUAUGCCAAAGAACCAGCAGACUCAUUGGUAUGGUUCUAAUCUGAAGGCUAGCAUAUUGGAGACACAGGAAAGCUGAUAUUUCAGUUUGAGUUCAAAGGCAGGAAAAAAAAUUGAUAUCUCAGUUUGAACUGUCAGGAAGGAAUUCUUCUCUUACUUGGGUGUAGGUUAGUAUUUCGUUUUAUUGAGAUCUUCAACUAAUUAGAUGGGGCCCACCCACACUAGGGAGGAUAAUCUGCUUCUUUCAAGUAUGUCAAUUUAAAUGUUAAUCUCACCUAAAACUCUCUCACUGAAAUACCCAGAAUAAUGUUUAACCAAAUAGCUGGGCACCCUGUGGCCCAGUCAAGCUGACAUAUAAAAUUAACCGUAGUUACUCUAUCUUUUGUAUAUGUCAUUAAUUCUUUAAUGUCAUUGUAUAGUGUUAUAAAGAAACAGUGGGCAACAACAAUAUCUUGAGUAAAAACAGGUGUAGGUCAGCAACCUUGUAUAGGUCAAUCCCAUUUAGUGUUUGUGCGAGCCUCUUAAUGUUGAACUUGGCAUAGAGAGACCAUGAGCAAAAUACAAGUAAGAUUGCAGUAAGUUCCAUGGGGGCCUGCAUUCUAAUCAUUAACUAGGGAAACGAUCUUUAGCAAUUUAUUUAACUUUUUGGAAUUUGCUUUCCUCUUCUGAAAAUGAGGUGGUUGGACUAGAUGAUUUUUAAAAAAUCACGUUCAGCUCCAGGAUCUUGGGUUUUAACGAAAGAAUGUAAGGGAGGCCCUGUGUGUUAGCUACCAGCAUUGUGCAUACGGGCACAUCUUUGGAGUUAUGUACACAGUGUCAUCUAUGUUUGCAAUUGAACGACAAAAAUAAUUUGGCCUGGCUUUUAUUUGUUCUCUGUUGGCUAAAAAUAAACAAAGUUUAUUCUGGGAAA